GAGUUUGAUCGUGGCUCAGAACGAACGCUGGCGGCAUGCCUAACACAUGCAAGUCGAACGUGAUCCAGGGCUUCGGCUCUGGUGAAAGUGGCGGACGGGUGAGUAACGCGUGGGAACCUGCCCAGUGGUAGGGGAUAACCGCGGGAAACUGCGGCUAAUACCCUAUGCGCCCUACGGGGGAAAGAUUUAUCGCCAUUGGAGGGGCCCGCGUCGGAUUAGGUAGUUGGUGAGGUAACGGCUCACCAAGCCUGCGAUCCGUAGCUGGUCUGAGAGGAUGAUCAGCCACACUGGGACUGAGACACGGCCCAGACUCCUACGGGAGGCAGCAGUGGGGGGUAUUGGACAAUGGGGGCAACCCUGAUCCAGCAAUGCCGCGUAAGUGAUGAAGGCCUUAGGGUUGUAAAGCUCUUUCGGCGGGAAGAUGAUGACGGUACCCGCAGAAGAAGCCCCGGCUAACUUCGUGCCAGCAGCCGCUGUAAC
rnacentral:rRNA from 1 species